rnacentral:misc_RNA from 1 species
GAAAUGCGAUAAGUAAUGUGAAUUGCAGAAGUCAGUGAAUCAUCGAAUCUUUGAACGCACAUUGCGCCUAUUAGUAUUCUAGUAGGCAUGCCAGUUCGAGCGUCAUUUCAACCCUCAAGCCCUGGUUGCUUGGUGUUGGGAGCUUGCUGUGAAACGCAACUCCUCAAAGCUAGCUGGCAGAGUCGGGAUGCACUCUAAGCGUAGUAAACUUGAUAGUCUCGCUUCUGCAGUUGUCCCGGCCGUCUUGCCAUAAAAGCCCACACUUUUUUUGUUUUCUAUGGUUGACCUCGGAUCAGGUAGGAAUACCCGCUGAACUUAAGC